UACGAAGGAGGCUAGCGUUGCUCGGAAUCACUGGGCGUAAAGCGCACGUAGGCGGAUUCUUAAGUCGGUGGUGAAAUCCUGGAGCUCAACUCCAGAACUGCCUUCGAUACUGAGAGUCUUGAGUUCGGGAGAGGUGAGUGGAACUGCGAGUGUAGAGGUGAAAUUCGUAGAUAUUCGCAAGAACACCAGUGGCGAAGGCGGCUCACUGGCCCGAUACUGACGCUGAGGUGCGAAAGCGUGGGGAGCAAACAGG
rnacentral:rRNA from 1 species